CUCAAAAGGAGCCUUUUCAUACUGCACAUGGGAGUCUCUCGGCGAGAACACUGGCGUGGUUUGCCAUUCCCUCCUCCACCGGACCACGUUCUGUCAGGUAGUUAGGGAACAUCACCCACUCAAUGGAUAGGAGUUUGAGAAAACUCCGGAGAUAGUUAAGCGACUUGGCAGCCUGAUGUGCUACGGGCCGCCGGGUCGCAGAGUCGUACACGACUUAGCGACUGUACAACAAGGAGCCUUUAGAGACAAGCUCGUCGGCGCUCUGGACUUUAACUUCCUCAUCUGUAAAAUGGAGCAGCCAUCGCCUGCAGGAGGAAUACAAGAUGGUGACUGCAGCCAUGAAAUUAAAAGACACUUACUCCUUGGAAGAAACGUUA
ensembl:lncRNA